AUUGAACGCUGGCGGCAGGCUUAACACAUGCAAGUCGAGCGGAGAGAGGUAGCUUGCUACUGAUCUUAGCGGCGGACGGGUGAGUAAUGCUUAGGAAUCUGCCUAUUAGUGGGGGACAACAUUUCGAAAGGAAUGCUAAUACCGCAUACGUCCUACGGGAGAAAGCAGGGGACCUUCGGACCUUGCGCUAAUAGAUGAGCCUAAGUCGGAUUAGCUAGUUGGUGGGGUAAAGGCCUACCAAGGUGACGAUCUGUAGCGGGUCUGAGAGGAUGAGCCGCCACACUGGGACUGAGACACGGCCCAGACUCCUACGGGAGGCAGCAGUGGGGAAUAUUGGACAAUGGGCGCAAGCCUGAUCCAGCCUUGCCGCGUGUGUGAAGAAGGCCUUAUGGUUGUAAAGCACUUUAAGCGAGGAGGAGGCUACUUUAGAUAAUACCUAGAGAUAGUGGACGUUACUCGCAGAAUAAGCACCGGCUAACUCUGUGCCAGCAGCCGCGGUAACAC
rnacentral:rRNA from 1 species